UCUUCUCACAUUUACUGAUGCUCAGGUGUGUUUGCCACAACAGGGAGCUAUGAACUCCACCUUUCUUGGUGUGAGGGCCUCUCUUGGAGCCUACAUUGGUGCAGAGUGUGAUGAAGGCUUCUGUGGGGCAGCCUGAGUAACCUGAGCCAGGUGCAGAGAAAGGAGCACAGAGGAAAACAGAGAAGCUGUGGGAGAUGGCCACCCAGCUCAGCACGGCCAGCCCCGGCUGCCCAGCAGGCGCCUGGACAGAUUGGAGGAGGGCCUGCAGCAGCUGAGCCUGCCCAGGGAGUGCAGGGGGCCUGCGGGAGCCGACAAGGACAGUGACAUCAGAACGGUGACAUCACAGGCAAGCCCUAUGAAUAGAGAUAAGGGAGGAAGACCAGAGCCCUGAGUCAGAAGAUGCGCUGUCCUGUCCUGCCUGAAUCUUCCAGGGGCACCCAGCUGCUCUGCUGUGUGGCCCUCUGUCUCCUGGGGGCAGGUCCAGUGGGUGCUGAAGUCAUCCAGACCCCCAGACACCUAAUCCAAGGCCGCGGGGGGAAGGCUGUUCUGAAAUGCCAUCCUAUCACUGGGCACAGCAGCGUGAGAUGGUACCAGCAGGCCCCGGGCCAGGGCUCCCGGUUCCUCAUUGAGUAUUAUGAACAGGAGCAGAGAGAGACAAAGGAGACAUCCCGGAGUGGUUCUCAGCUCAGCAGUUCAUAGGUCUCCAAGCCUCUGAAAUCAACAUUUCCCUAAAAUUGAAUGGGUUUCCUGGCCCUUAACCAACAAGAUGUCGCAGACCACCGUGUCUUCCAUCUCUGUACUGGCUAAGCUGUGGUGGGGAGGUCAUACAUCAUGGUGUCGGGUUACCAUACCUAUUGCCUGCCCACUUCUAGAACCUGCUGCAAGCCAGAGAAUGUGUAUCUGUCCGGUCACAGUUCCACUAGGGUGGGGCCAGGGUAUUCCCCCAAUGCAAGAGCUGAGGGACUAGGGGGUUUCCAGUCUACCGGAGAUUCAGCCAAGGAAAUAGGAGCCCCCUGGGGAUCUCAAGCAGAAUGGGAGUUAAUAUGGGAACUAGUGCUUCUAAACCAUUGGACGUUCUGGAGGAAGGAGGUUCUGCAGAGGCUGCAGUUCGCUCAUACGUCUAGCACUUUCCAUCAGAAAAGCUGAAAUUGCUACUUCUGCCCAGGCCGGUAACUGCAGAAAACAGCAGAGAGCUACAGUUAAGUACAUGUGCGGCAUAGCCGUUUCCCGGUGGCAGGUACAAACUUAUUAGUGAACACACACGGUUUUAAUUCUAUUCCUUUUCUGGGAACUUAUAGAAAAUUCCCUUAUUUAUUGCUCAUUUUCUCUGUGCCAUAUACUUAAGUACAUUAUUUCGAUUAAUUCUCUCGGGCCUUGUAGAUGAUUUGCUGAAGGAGGCGCAGCUCACAGAUAUGGGAUGCAUGCCAACCUAACUGCUACCCCCCUUCCGCAUUUUGGUAGAGGAAGGCAUCUUCACAAUUGGAACACUGACCUAAAAGUACCUUCCAGAAACAUGGGCCCUGACACAGUCAUUUGCGCAGGGAGGCUACCUGCUGAAAGAGGACUUCUGAGAUUUCCAUCUGUUCAUAUUCGGACCUGCCUUGGACUGGUGACCAGGACAAUAUUUGACUGGGUUUUCCCACUUGUAAACUAAGGCCAAUAAUAUGUGUCUUGCAGAGAUUUUAUGCAAGAAAAUAAAACAAAUUGCCUAACACAAAGAUUAGACCCAAGAAAUCUUGGUUCCCCCGUUAGCUCUGACAAAGCUCUGGCCUAACACAAUUAUUUACUGGGUGCAAUUCUGGGAUCAAAGGCAGGCAUGGAUUACUUUUGCCUGACUCACCUAUGUUCCAGACACGAAGUCAUCUGAAAUGUAAAUACAGUCAUCUGAUAAUGUAUUAUGUGAAAUUAACUGCAAACGGUUGCCUCUUAUGGGAAUGAGAAAAUGAGGUCUAUGACAGCACUCUUUGUUUGAUAUUAAGUCUGAUAUGCAAGAAGGUGCUGUGCUUCCAGAACAUUGCAGCUUUGGUGCGACUGAUGAUCACACAGAAGAUCUGAUAAAGGAAGGUACAGUUUUAUUCAAAAGAGUCCAUCAUGGUAGAGCCUCUAGGGCCUUCUGUCCUGCCUCUGAUUUCACCCUCCACUGCUGUGGACAGUAUUUUCAUGCAGGUCUGCCUCCAUUCACCUCAUGCUGACGGCGUGCCCCUCACACACAUGCCCUGAUCCCUGGGCUUUCGGCCCCAGGGCUGUCUGUGACAUCAUAGGUUUAGCUGCAGGCAUGCUAAUGCUCCUGGCGGGACAGGAGCCAAGACACAAAACCUCCAGGAUCUGCAUUCAGGGGGACAAUUCAAGGAGGCAUUUCCUAGGCUUCUCAGAAGGUCCCAGUGGAAUCCAUCUCCUGAUGCCCCCGCAUAUCCUCAAUAUUGCUCCUUUAUCCGGUUCUUUCCUUCCCUCUUCCCUUCUGCUCUCUGACAGCGAUGGAAAAAGGGGACCAUUGGAAGACCCUUCCCUUUGGAAGAGACCGCCAUUUUUCCUUCAUCCGUAUUGUCAUCCAUCCUCUCCAAGUCUUAUAAUAACAUAUAUGAAUGAAUCUUUUCCCAGUUUGUUUUGGUUUAUUUUGAAUCCCCAACAGACUCCUAUGGGUCUCUGCUCCCUUAAUGCUCCAAACCUAUUUGUAACUGAACAGACUAGGGUUAUGUUUACAAAAGCAGAGUCUGCCUGGAUUUUCUUCAUUAAUUCAACAAACAUUUAUUGAAUACAUGUGCAGAGCAUAUCCAGGUUUUAUGGAGCCUAAACCUUAUAAAUUUUAGGGUGCUAUGUGAAAAAGACAAUAGAAAAAAAAAUUUAGGUCUUGGAAAGGUCCUGUGCAAAUGAGAAGGGCCUGAAGUUAUUCUUCAUUGACUUUAUGGCCAGCCCACCCUUCACUCUUCACCACGUGUAGGAAGUAUUCCAGGUGUUUGGGAAACACCAAUGCAAAAAAAAAAAAGGCAAAA